rnacentral:rRNA from 1 species
UACGGGGGGGGCAAGCGUUGUUCGGAAUUACUGGGCGUAAAGGGCUCGUAGGCGGCCAACUAAGUCGGAUGUGAAAUCCCCAGGCUUAACGUGGGAACUGCAUCCGAUACUGGAUGGCUUGAAUCCGGGAGAGGGAUGCAGAAUUCCAGGUGUAGCGGUGAAAUGCGUAGAUAUCUGGAGGAAUACCGGUGGCGAAGGCGGCAUCCUGGACCGGCAUUGACGCUGAUGAGCGAAAGCUAGGGGAGCAAACGGG